UACGUAGGUGGCAAGCGUUAUCCGGAAUUAUUGGGCGUAAAGCGCGCGCAGGCGGUUUCUUAAGUCUGAUGUGAAAGCCCACGGCUCAACCGUGGAGGGUCAUUGGAAACUGGGGAACUUGAGUGCAGAAGAGAAAAGCGGAAUUCCACGUGUAGCGGUGAAAUGACGUAGAGAUGUGGAGGAACACCGGUGGCGAAGGCGGCUCAC
rnacentral:rRNA from 1 species